rnacentral:rRNA from 1 species
GAUGAACGCUGGCGGCGUGCCUAAUACAUGCAAGUCGAGCGAACGGACGAGAAGCUUGCUUCUCUGAUGUUAGCGGCGGACGGGUGAGUAACACGUGGAUAACCUACCUAUAAGACUGGGAUAAUUUCGGGAAACCGGAGCUAAUACCGGAUAAUAUUUUGAACCGCAUGGUUCAAUAGUGAAAGACGGUCUUGCUGUCACUUAUAGAUGGAUCCGCGCUGCAUUAGCUAGUUGGUAAGGUAACGGCUUACCAAGGCAACGAUGCAUAGCCGACCUGAGAGGGUGAUCGGCCACACUGGAACUGAGACACGGUCCAGACUCCUACGGGAGGCAGCAGUAGGGAAUCUUCCGCAAUGGGCGAAAGCCUGACGGAGCAACGCCGCGUGAGUGAUGAAGGUCUUCGGAUCGUAAAACUCUGUUAUUAGGGAAGAACAUAUGUGUAAGUAACUGUGCACAUCUUGACGGUACCUAAUCAGAAAGCCACGGCUAACUACGUG